GUUGAAACACUGGUUCUUAUAUGAUCACCGAAGUUAAGCAGCAUCAAGCUGCGUCACUACCUACAUGGGCGACCGCUUGGGAAUACCAGGUGCUGUCA